UCCGACUGGAGCCGGCAGUGCUGGCUCUGCCUUGCCGGGAGGAGGGAGCGAGAGCCUUUGUCCCCAGCUCCAGCCAGCGUUUGGGCCAGCAUCUGCUGGCCAGAUGUGCACCCGCAGGAGGGGGGUGACGGCGAUGCAUGGGCUCUGUCCCUGCCCGGCAGCGACCUGCUGGCAUGGAGAAAAACCAAUCCAAAGGGACAAAAAACAGGAUAAAGAGGGGCCUCUGACCCAGUGAAUCUGUGCCACUCCACCUGGACCAUCGGGGCCAUCACUGCUGAGCAGCCCCAGCCCCAGCGCUGCUCCAUCCUCGAGGGAACACUCCUGCACAGCCCCCGGGCCCCCAUGCUUUAGGCCUUUCUUUUAUUAUAAUAAAUGCUGAAAUCACUUUUA